UCCUCGGUAGCUCAAUGGUAGAGCAUCCGGCUGUUAACCGGAGGGUUAUAGGUUCGAGUCCUAUCCGGGGAGCCA
rnacentral:tRNA from 1 species